rnacentral:rRNA from 1 species
AGAGUUUGAUCCUGGCUCAGGAUGAACGCUAGCUACAGGCUUAACACAUGCAAGUCGAGGGGAAACGACAUCGAAAGCUUGCUUUUGAUGGGCGUCGACCGGCGCACGGGUGAGUAACGCGUAUCCAACCUGCCCAUCACUUGGGGAUAACCUUGCGAAAGUAAGACUAAUACCCAAUGACGUCUCUAGAAGACAUCUGAAAGAGAUUAAAGAUUUAUCGGUGAUGGAUGGGGAUGCGUCUGAUUAGCUUGUUGGCGGGGUAACGGCCACCAAGGCGACGAUCAGGUAGGGGUUCUGAGAGGAAGGUCCCCCACAUUGGAACUGAGGACACGGUCCAAACUCCGUACGGGAGGCCA